GAUGGAGAAAACACUGACUAUGCAGUAAAAGCAUACCUGGAUAGAAACAUACACACUGAAACACUAUCAGUCAUGGAUUGGCCUUUCCUGAGCCCAUCAACAUUAUUGAAACAGUAUGGGAUCAUCUUGACAGGGAACAGAACGAAAGGCAGCCAACAUCCAAAGAAGAGCUUUAAAGGUUCUUGAAGAAGCCUGGAGAACUAUUCCUGAAGACUACUUAUAGAAAUGACAAGAAAGCUGCCUAUCAGAGCUCGGCUGUGUGGAAGAAUAAAGGUGGUCACACCAAAUAUUGAAAGCUUGUUACGAACUCUGUUUUUACCUUAUAUACUGUAUUUACAUCUGCGUUAGCCCUCCGACAGACAGGCGACCUGGUAAGGGUGCACCCUGCCUCUCGCCGAAUGACGGCUCAAAUAGGCUCUGGCAAGACUCACAGUACUAAGAGCUGUGAAGUAGGGCACCCCGACUAACUCUUUAAAGCAGGCAGCUCCACUGUGAACUAUACCUCCACCCUCUUCUCCUCCUGGGCGUGGACAGCAGCGAGGAUGCACAUAAAAAGAGAUGGAUGGAGAAAGCAGCAGUGUCCUCAACAGACAAUCUGUCCACCUGCAGCAAGAUCACCAGAGAGCCUCCUGAACAGCAGCCUUCAUCCUCCUCAUCCUCCAUCAGACCUGCAGAAGAAUCGAGAAGUGACUCUUCACCCACAGCACAGUUCCCUGUCGGCUGACUGGCUCCCUACAAGAUGCUCCGCCCCCUGCUCUUCCUGUCUGCUC
ensembl:lncRNA